AAGUCGUAACAAGGUUUCCGUAGGUGAACCUGCGGAAGGAUCAUUAUCGAAAUAUAGUCCGAGGUUGAUGCUGGUCCUCCGGGGCAUGUGCUCGCCUCUGGUCUCGUCCAUCUUACACCUGUGAACCACCGCGUGGGUCGAGCUAGUCUCGGCCUGCGUUCUUUACAUCUACCUUCGUAUGUCUUUGGAAUGUCUUUGAUGCUAUAAAACGCAUGUUAUUACAACUUUCAGCAACGGAUCUCUUGGCUCUC
rnacentral:misc_RNA from 1 species